AGAGUUUGAUCCUGGCUCAGGACGAACGCUGGCGGCGUGCUUAACACAUGCAAGUCACGGGGGCUCGCAAGAGCAACCGGCGAACGGGUGCGUAACACGUGAGCAACCUGCCGAUCUGAGGGGGAUAGCCGGCCCAACGGCCGGGUAAUACCGCAUACGUUCUUCUAGGGGAGUCCCUGGGAGAAGAAACCUCCGGGGCAGAUCGAGGGGCUCGCGGCCUAUCAGCUAGUUGGCGGUGUAAUGGACCACCAAGGCGACGACGGGUAGCUGGUCUGAGAGGAUGGCCAGCCACAUUGGGACUGAGAGACGGCCCAGACUCCUACGGGAGGCAGCAGUGGGGAAUCUUGCGCAAUGGCCGAAAGGCUGACGCAGCGACGCCGCGUGUGGGAUGAAGCAUUUCGGUGUGUAAACCACUGUUGCCCGGGACGAACAGCUCUUUUCGAGGAGCCUGACGGUACCGGGUGAGGAAGCACCGGCUAACUCCGUGCCAGCAGCCGCGGUAAUACGGAGGGUGCGAGCGUUGUCCGGAAUCACUGGGCGUAAAGGGCGCGUAGGUGGCGCGGGCAGUCAACGGUGAAAGUUCGGGGCUCAACCCUGAAUCGGCCGUCGAUACUCCCGUGCUUGAGCACUGUAGAGGCUAAUGGAAUUCCGGGUGUAGCGGUGGAAUGCGUAGAGAUCCGGAAGAACACCGGUGGCGAAGGCGGUUAGCUGGGCAGUUGCUGACACUGAGGCGCGACAGCGUGGGGAGCAAACAGGAUUAGAUACCCUGGUAGUCC
rnacentral:rRNA from 1 species